rnacentral:rRNA from 1 species
GACGAACGCUGGCGGCGUGCUUAACACAUGCAAGUCGAACGGAAAGGCCCUGCUUUUGUGGGGUGCUCGAGUGGCGAACGGGUGAGUAACACGUGAGUAACCUGCCCUUGACUUUGGGAUAACUUCAGGAAACUGGGGCUAAUACCGGAUAGGAGCUCCUGCUGCAUGGUGGGGGUUGGAAAGUUUCGGCGGUUGGGGAUGGACUCGCGGCUUAUCAGCUUGUUGGUGGGGUAGUGGCUUACCAAGGCUUUGACGGGUAGCCGGCCUGCGAGGGUGACCGGCCACAUUGGGACUGAGAUACGGCCCAGACUCCUACGGGAGGCAGCAGUGGGGAAUAUUGCACAAUGGGAGGAAGCCUGAUGCAGCAACGCCGCGUGCGGGAUGACGGCCUUCGGGUUGUAAACCGCUUUCGCCUGUGACGAAGCGUGAGUGACGGUAAUGGGUAAAGAAGCACCGGCUAACUACGUG